CCUACGGGAGGCAGCAGUAAGGAAUCUUCCACAAUGGACGAAAGUCUGAUGGAGCAACGCCGCGUGCAGGAUGAAGGCUUUCGGGUCGUAAACUGCUUUUAUAUGGGAAGAUUAUGACGGUACCAUAUGAAUAAGGACCGGCUAACUACGUGCCAGCAGCCGCGGUAAUACGUAGGGUCCAAGCGAUAUCCGGAAUUACUGGGCGUAAAGCGUGUGUAGGUGGAUUAAUAAGUGUGAUGCGAAAUCCGGCGGCUCAACCGUUUGGACUGUGUCGCAUACUGUUAGUCUAGAGGACGGCAGAGGUAAGUGGAAUUACGGGUGUAGCAGUGAAAUGCGUAGAUAUCCGUAGGAACACCAAUGGCGAAGACAGCUUACUGGGCCACACCUGACACUGAGACACGAAAGCGUGGGGAGCGAACAGGAUUAGAUACCCUGGUAGUCCACGCCGUAAACCGAUGCAUACUAUUAGUAUGGGGUAUCGACCCCCUGUGCUGAGAAGCUAACGCGAUAAGUAUGCCGCCGNGGGAGGUACGAGCGCAGACGUUAAACUUAAACUAGAGUAGUACGCGUGAGACGUCGCCGACGGACGACGACGAGGGAGAGG
rnacentral:rRNA from 1 species